AUGGCCAGCCGGACGAG
rnacentral:misc_RNA from 1 species